rnacentral:rRNA from 1 species
UACGUAGGGGGCGAGCGUUGUCCGGAUUUAUUGGGCGUAAAGAGCUCGUAGGCGGUUCGAUAAGUCGGACGUGAAAUCUCCACGCUCAACGUGGAGGGGCCGUUCGAUACUGUCGUGACUCGAGUCCGGUAGGGGAGUGUGGAAUUCCUGGUGUAGCGGUGAAAUGCGCAGAGAUCGGGAGGAACACCCGUAGCGAAGGCGGCACUCUGGGCCGGUACUGACGCUGAGGAGCGAAAGCGUGGGGAGCAAACAGG